rnacentral:rRNA from 1 species
AGCGAACGCUGGCGGCAGGCUUAACACAUGCAAGUCGAGCGGGCAUCUUCGGAUGUCAGCGGCAGACGGGUGAGUAACACGUGGGAACGUACCCUUCGGUUCGGAACAACUCUGGGAAACUGGAGCUAAUACCGGAUACGCCCUUAUGGGGAAAGGUUUACUGCCGAAGGAUCGGCCCGCGUCUGAUUAGCUAGUUGGUGGGGUAACGGCCUACCAAGGCGACGAUCAGUAGCUGGUCUGAGAGGAUGAUUAGCCACACUGGGACUGAGACACGGCCCAGACUCCUACGGGAGGCAGCAGUGGGGAAUAUUGGACAAUGGGCGCAAGCCUGAUCCAGCCAUGCCGCGUGAGUGAUGAAGGCCUUAGGGUUGUAAAGCUCUUUUGUCCGGGACGAUAAUGACGGUACCGGAAGAAUAAGCCCCGGCUAACUUCGUG